GGCGGACUCGUUCAAAAGGAUAAGGAUAACCGGUUUUCAGCCGGUAGAUACAGGUUCAAGUCCUGUGUCCGCUGCCA
rnacentral:tRNA from 1 species